AUGGGGAUGAGGCGCCGGAUCCAGGCGUGGCCUGGGCUGGGCGUGGCGCUCCGGAGGCGCCCGGGACCCACCUGGCAGGGCCAGCAGGGCCAGGAGGGCGAGGAGCGGGAGGGAGCUCGAGGCCAUGGUUGGGAUCUGCUGGAGUGCGGGGGGGACCUCCAGCCCCCCGGGGGGUCCCUGACUCUGCUCUGCCGCGCCUCCGGGUUCGAUUUUGAGGAUUAUGGCAUGUUCUGGAUCCGCCAAAGACACGGAAAGGGACUGGAAUACGUCGCAGGGAUUGACAGUGAUGAAGACACUGCCUACGCGCCCUCGGUGCAGGACCGGUUCUUGAUCUCCAGGGACAACGGGCAGAGCUCUGUGACGCUGACCAUGAACCGCCUCAAGGACGAGGAUUCCGGCAUUUAUUUCUGUGCCAAAUCUGACCCUUCCCCCAGCCCUCAGUCCUUGCCCCAGUCCUGA